GCGGAAUUAGCUCAAGUGGUAGAGCGCUCGCUUAGCAUGCGAGAGGAAGCAGGAUCGAUGUCUGCAUUCUCCA
rnacentral:tRNA from 1 species